AUUGAACGCUGGCGGCAUGCCUUACACAUGCAAGUCGAACGGUAGCGCGGGGUAACCUGGCGACGAGUGGCGAACGGGUGAGUAAUGCAUCGGAACGUGCCCUGGAAUGGGGGAUAACGUAGCGAAAGUUACGCUAAUACCGCAUAUUCUGUGAGCAGGAAAGCAGGGGAUCGCAAGACCUUGCGUUCUGGGAGCGGCCGAUGUCGGAUUAGCUAGUUGGUGGGGUAAAGCCUACCAAGGCGACGAUCCGUAGCGGGUCUGAGAGGAUGAUCCGCCACACUGGGACUGAGACACGGCCCAGACUCCUACGGGAGGCAGCAGUGGGGAAUUUUGGACAAUGGGCGGAAGCCUGAUCCAGCCAUGCCGCGUGAGUGAAGAAGGCC
rnacentral:rRNA from 1 species